UCUCCGUUGGUGAACCAGCGGAAGGAUCAUUCCCAAUUUGCAAAUUACCGAACCUUUUUAAACAUCCCUCUCCACCUCGUGUGCAACGUUCUCAGACCCACUAUCGAGAUCCUUCAGGCCACGGCACGGGGAACCUCUAAAACUUCCCAACACCACCACUCACCUACAUCUCUGAACAUUUGUUAUCACGUAUUAAAUUAAUUCAAAAUUACAACAUCCAACAACGUGUCUCUUGGUUCUGGCAUCGACGAAGAACGCCGCAGAUCGAAACAGCACAAC
rnacentral:misc_RNA from 1 species